UACGCAGGGGGCUAGCGUUGUUCGGAAUUACUGGGCGUAAAGCGCACGUAGGCGGAUACUUAAGUCAGGGGUGAAAUCCCGGGGCUCAACCCCGGAACUGCCUUUGAUACUGGGUAUCUCGAGUCCGGAAGAGGUGAGUGGAAUUCCGAGUGUAGAGGUGAAAUUCGUAGAUAUUCGGAGGAACACCAGUGGCGAAGGCGGCUCACUGGUCCGGUACUGACGCUGAGGUGCGAAAGCGUGGGGAGCAAACAGG
rnacentral:rRNA from 1 species